UAGAAUUGACGGGGCCCGCACAAGCAGCGGAGCAUGUGGUUAAUUCGAAGCAACGCGAAGAACCUUACCUAGACUUGACAUCUCCUGAAUUACCCGUAACUGGGGAAGCUCUUCGGAGCAGGAAGACAGGUGGUGCAUGGUUGUCGUCAGCUCGUGUCGUGAGAUGUUGGGUUAAGUCCCGCAACGAGCGCAACCCCUAUUGUUAGUUGCCAUCAUUCAGUUGGGCACUCUAGCGAGACUGCCGGUAAUAAACCGGAGGAAGGUGGGGAUGACGUCAAAUCAUCAUGCCCCUUAUGACCUGGGCUACACACGUGCUACAAUGGUUGGUACAACGAGUUGCGAGUCGGUGACGGCGAGCUAAUCUCUUAAAGCCAAUCUCAGUUCGGAUUGUAGGCUGCAACUCGCCUACAUGAAGUCGGAAUCGCUAGUAAUCGCGGAUCAGCACGCCGCGGUGAAUACGUUCCCGGGCCUU
rnacentral:rRNA from 1 species